GACGAACGCUGGCGGCGUGCUUAACACAUGCAAGUCGAACGGAAAGGCCCUGCUUUUGUGGGGUUCUCGAGUGGCGAACGGGUGAGUAACACGUGAGUAACCUGCCCUUGACUUUGGGAUAACUUCAGGAAACUGGGGCUAAUACCGGAUAUGAGCUCCUGCUGCAUGUUGUGGGUUGGAAAGUUUCGGCGGUUGGGGAUGGACUCGCGGCUUAUCAGCUUGUUGGUGGGGUAGUUGCUUACCAAGGCUUUGACGGGUAGCCGGCCUGAGAGGGUGACCGGCGACAUUGGGACUGAGAUACGGACCAGACUGCUACGGGAGGCAGCAGUGGGGAAUAUUGCACAAUGGGCGGAAGCGUGAUGCAGCAACGCCGCGUGCGGGAUGACGGCCUUCGGGUUGUAAACAGCUUUCGACUGUGACGAAGCGUGAGUGACGGUAAUGGGUAAAGAAGCAACGGCUAACUACGUG
rnacentral:rRNA from 1 species